AGGCCAGGGAGCCGAGCGGCUUGCCUUCCAUUCGGCUUGUUCCGUCUUUCCUGUCUAACAGCUCUCACGGCUCUGUAGGCUUUUCCUCAAGUCAGCUAGGUGGAUUUUUGGUGUGGGUUCCCAGGCUCCAUUUGGUUAUCAGUGUAAUAAGUGAUUUCAGAGUAUUAGGGCAGAUUCCACGAUCACUGAAUCAUGUACAGAUUCAAGGCCAGAUGAUGACAUCAGAAACAUAUGUGUUCGUCUGGAGGCAAUACUUGGCCUGAGAAACAGAGCAAGAUCUCCAGUGGGAGAAUUAGACUUUCACUGGCCUAAAGAGGACCCCAGGAGCUGGCACUCUUGGAGGGCAGGCAACCAUGCUGCAAGAGCUGUUCCUCACACCCCAGCCUAGGAGGUGAGAGGCCAACCGCACAGCUGAGGAGGUGAGGGGACACCACCACCACUCAGGAGAUGAGGGGUCCGUACCAUAGCUCGGGAAGUGAGAGAACACCACCACAGCCCAGGAGGUGAGGAGACAGUAUCACAGCUCGGGAGGGUUGAAGAACCACCAAAAACAGCGCCUACUGCUGAGUCGGCCAGGUCUCCAAGGCCUCCUCGCCCUGAAGUCAACUUCUCACUCCACGCCAAACCUCCGAGGGCCAACCCUUCCAAUGCUUUCACAUAAGCCUUGGCCACAAAGAACUCGAGCAAAGCCAGGACUCACACGUGGAAAUGGGCUGAAGGUGGCCGUGUGACCUCCUUACACGAGAAUGUCACAAAACCAGUUUGCUCAACAGCUCUCACGCUCUCACGAGUGAAUGGACAAGUAUGAGCUGGAUGGCUUCUUCUAAUAACGUUGUAGCCCGCGGAAUCCUUUUGUACUCCAAAUGGAUGAGCCAAGUGCCAUGUUUGUUUCCCACUGUAAAAGUUUUACUAAGAAAGGAAAAUUAAAAAAAAAAAAGAUCUUUUUUUUUUUUUUUCGAAUCCACUGGACUCUUUAUACCUUGACGUAGGAGGAACUGUCCCGGUGUUGAGGCUAAUGAGCAUGUGCGUAAUGUUUACAUAUCUUGUUCUGUGUUUCCUAUGAUAGUCUGUAAUCCUCCACUACCUAUUAACUACCUCUCUUGCAUGAAAUUGCCCGAUUUUAUCAAUUUUAUGUUACAGAAAAUGGUGGGGUAGGUGGAGAAGGUGGGUGAAUCCUUUCUGGGAUUAUAUGCUUGCAGUGACGGAGUCAGAAUGCACGCCGCUCGGGGUUGGUGCACACAACAGUGAUUUUGAACCGGGCCCCACCUCAACCCGACUUGGCUAAGCCCUCUUACAGUUGUCAUCCCAGGCAAACUAGUGUGGAUUCGAACCCUGGUCAACAUUAUGUCUUUCUCUAUAACAUGAUAGAAACAUGGGGAAAAGAGGACUCUUGCCUAUCCUUGUAGGGUUUUAUUUUAUUUUAUUUUAUUUUAUUUUAUUUUUUUGGGUGGGGGAGUGACUCAGCCUGAACACCUACAUUUAGGGAGGCAAAAUUGCAGGACAGUCCCUGAAAGCGAGGACUCCUUUGUCACGAGGGUGUGAGUACUUCCAGUCCAUGAGGUUAUCUGGAAGGGUGCUGGGAGAAGGUUUUCUCUGGAUUCUGAGCAAACUGAACUCCAGGGAGAAUGACCUAACUAUUGAGAAGAUUCUGGCUAGAAUAUGACUUGGACCCUACUUUUCUUCCCAUUUGAAAUACAGAAAUUAGAAUAAUCUCAGUUUGGGGGCACCUGGGUAGCUCCGUUGGUUAAGCAUCUGACUCUUGAUUUGGGCUC